AAGCUCGUAGUUGAAUUUCGGGGUCAAAUUGUCGGUCGUGCCUCGGUACGUACUGGCGUUAUUGGUUCCUCCCUUCUGAAGAACCGCGAUGUCAUUAAUUUGGUGUCGCGGGGAAUCAGGACUGUUACUUUGAAAAAAUUAGAGUGUUUAAAGCAGGCUCGCGCUUGAAUACAUUAGCAUGGAAUAAUGAGAUAGGACGUUUGAUUCUAUUUUGUUGGUUUCUAGGAUCGACGUAAUGAUUAAUAGGGAUAGUUGGGGGCAUUAGUAUUCAAUUGUCAGAGGUGAAAUUCUUGGAUUUAUUGAAGACUAACUACUGCGAAAGCAUUUGCCAAGGAUGUUUUCAUUAAUCAAGAACGAAAGUUAGGGGAUCGAAGACGAUCAGAUACCGUCGUAGUCUUAACCAUAAACUAUGCCGACUAGGGAUCGGAUGAUGUUAAUUUUUUAAUGACUCAUUUGGCGCCUUACGGGAAACCACAGUGUUUGGGUUCCGGGGGGAGUAUGGUCGCAAGGCUGAAACUUAGAGGAAUUGACGGAAGGGCACCACCAGGGGUGGAGCCUGCGGCUUAAUUUGACUCAACACGGGGAAA
rnacentral:rRNA from 1 species